AUUGAACGCUGGCGGCAGGCCUAACACAUGUAAGUCGAACGAGUGGCGGACGGGUGAGCACUUUCUGGGAAACUGCCUGAUGGAGGGGGAUAACUACUGGAAACGGUAGCUAAUACCGCAUACCAUCAGAUGUGCCCAGGUGGGAUUAGCUAGUUGGUGGGGUAACGGCUCACCAAGGCGACGAUCCCUAGCUGGUCUGAGAGGAUGACCAGCCAAACUGGAACGUAGACACGGUCCAGACUCCUACGGGAGGCAGCAGUGGGGAAUAUUGCACAAUGGGCGCAAGCCUGAUGCAGCCAUGCCGCGUGUAUGAAGAAGGCCUUCGGGUUGUAAAGUACUUUCAGCGGGGAGGCGUUACCUGCAGAAGAAGCACCGGCUAACUCCGUGCCAGCAGCCGCGGUAAUUC
rnacentral:rRNA from 1 species